rnacentral:lncRNA from 1 species
UGAAGCUUAAACACGUUUGCAUUAAAUUAAACUCAUUAAAUAGAAUCAAACAAGCAACCACAGUAACAAAUUAUUAACUAGAAAAAGAAAAAAGCCAUGUAAUUAAUAGAAACAAAAGAAAAUUAACAGAAACAAGAGAGCAAAUUACAGGCAAGAAUGUUCCAACCAGGCGAGGCUUGGAUGACGGUGACCUAUGCAGCAAUAACGGCGUGGCUUUGACGACGGCGAGGCGUGCAAUGUGCAGUGACAGCAACGUGCUCAGGUGAGGCUUUGACGCGAUGCUGAGGCGAGGCUGCGAGGAAGACGACAAUUGGUCGACAGCGUUACAAGCCCUUCAGAUUUGGGCAUUAGGGUUGAGGGUUACGGCUGUUGGUGAGGUACCGUGAGGCUUGAGUGUGCGUGGAAUUGGAUGCAAUGGUUAGGGACUUAGCCAUUUAGGUUAGAUUUUUUUUUAAUUUAAGUUAAUAUAUAUUUUUUAAUUUAAACAAAAUUAAACCAGAUUCAGAUAUUCGAUUUUCUGAAUGCAAGUGCACUUGGAUUCGGAUUCGUGUGAAUCUUCAUUUUUUAAAUCUGGAUCGGUAUUUUUUAAAAUUCGGAUCUGGAAAAAUCCGGAUCCGAAUUUUAUUGUCAUAGAACAAUACCUGAUUCCUCUAAUUGAACUAGAUUAAACAUGAAAUAUUCGCGAAUCCUUGUUUAUAUGACUUCGAGUGUGUGCUGGCAAGGGAUACUCCGAUGCAAAUCAGUGUUUGAUUUUUGAGGAUUUUAUCAAGAACAAAGUUUCUCUUAGCUUAAUUUUUGAGAACUUCCCCCGAUUCUGAUUUUUUUCUCUUUCAAAGGCUUGAUGGCUAUUGAAUAACAUUCCUGAGCUACCAUUUGGUCCUUGUGGAUGUUGACUGUGCCUCGUCCUGUUCCUGAAAUGCACCUAACCACUUGGUGCAAGGUUAAAGGAAUGGCCUCCACGUAGUGGAUUCCAUGCCGCCCUAAAAUAGCAUUGCAGGAAGAGGGGGCGCGUCUGCCACUAAGAAAUCGAUGUUUACGGUAUUGUCACCAGCUUUAGUCAAAAGAUUGAUGAUGCCCUUUGCAAUUAAUCGGGUUCCUUUUAGAGGUAACCAAGGGUGCAUAGCACUUCUAAAGGUCUCUUUUGUUGAGUUUCAUGUUCUUAAAUGCUUCCCAUUAUAAGAUCUCUGCACUGCUUUCUCCAUCAACUAAAGUGUAUUCGACAUAAAUUUCUGGAAUUGACAGACUGAUAACGAGUGGGUAGAUGUGGGGAAUAUCAACGCUUUCAAGAUCAUUCCCAGAAAAGUGACUGGGGCAAGGUCUUCAAUUAUGGACAUAACAGCGGGAACUGACAUCUUCAGAAUCCCGCAUUUCUGUACGUUCUUAGCCCAGACAUAUUGAGCUCUCCACUGUUCCCUAUAUUACUCUGUUACUGGGCGUCCAUGGGUAAGCAUAGAAUGAAGCUCGUUAAUAGGUAACAGCAUCAAUUUUCC